rnacentral:rRNA from 1 species
CUUCGGUUGAUCCUGCCGGACCCGACUGCUAUCAGAGUGAGAUUAAGCCAUGCGAGUUAACGUAGCAAUACGUGGCGCACGGCUCAGUAACACGUAGUCAACAUGCCCAGAGGACGUGGAUAACCUCGGGAAACUGAGUCUAAACCGCGAUAAGUGAGGAUUUCUGGAAUGGUUCCUGACCAAAAUCUAUAUGGCCUCUGGAUUGGACUGCGGCCGAUCAGGCUGUUGGUGAGGUAAUGGCCCACCAAACCUGUAACCGGUACGGGCUCUGAGAGGAGGAGCCCGGAGAUGGGCACUGAGACAAGGGCCCAGGCCCUAUGGGGCGCAGCAGGCGCGAAACCUCUGCAAUAGGCGAAAGCCUGACAGGGUUACUCUGAGUGACUUUCGCUAAGAAAGUCUUUUGGCACCUCUAAAAAGGGUGCAGAAUAAGGGGUGGGCAAGUCUGGUGUCAGCCGCCGCGGUAAUACCAGCACCCCGAGUGGUCGGGACGAUUAUUGGGCCUAAAGCAUCCGUAGCCGGUUCUGCAAGUCCCCCGUUAAAUCCAGCUGCUCAACAGAUGGGCCGCGGAGGAUACUACAGAGCUAGGAGGCAGGAGAGGCAAGCGGUACUCAGUGGGUAGGGGUAAAAUCCGUUGAUCCAUUGAAGACCACCAGUGGCGAAGGCGGCUUGCCAGAAUGCGCUCGACGGUGAGGGAUGAAAGCUGGGGGAGCAAACCGGAUUAGAUACCCGGGUAGUCCCAGCCGUAAACGAUGCAGACUCGGUGAUGGGUUGGCUUCGCGCUAACCCAGUGCCGCAGGGAAGCCGUUAAGUCUGCCGCCUGGGUAGUACGGUCGCAAGACUGAAACUUAAAGGAAUUGGCGGGGGAGCA